rnacentral:rRNA from 1 species
AGUUCGGAUCGCAGGCUGCAACCCGCCUGCGUGAAGUUGGAAUCGCUAGUAAUCGCGGAUCAGCAUGCCGCGGUGAAUACGUUCCCGGGCCUUGUACACACCGCCCGUCACACCAUGAGAGUCGGGAACACCCGAAGUCCGUAGCCUGACCGCAAGGGGGGCGCGGCCGAAGGUGGGUUCGAUAAUUGGGGUGAAGUCGUAACAAGGUACC